AUAUUCGGUCUCUCGUAACCUUUGGUAUUCAUAAAAAUCUCUGGUUCGGAAUCAUCAAAUAAUCAGCUUGAACACUCGGAUCAUCUGUAACAAUUCGAAUGAAUUGUUGAUUGACGGUUUUGUAAAUACAUACAUGACUCACUGGGAGAACAAAACCAUCAUUCAAUUAUCACUAACUCCAAAUACAAACGACAUGAAAGUAUUCGCAAUUUCCAGUAAUCAACUCUUCAUCAUUAGGCAGAUUAAUCAGUAGCCAUUUUUGUUGUGAUCAUUCGUCUGGGGAUCGAGUCAGUAACCGACAGACUGUUGUCUUAUUAAUAUACAGUGCCAUGUUUUCAACUACUGGGAUGUCGAUAUUAGUGAUAUUUGGGGCUUUGAUUUGUUUGACCCUGGCACACAAGGACUUUUACACCGAAGAAGAAUUUCAGAAAAUCAAACAAGAGGCGGAGAGAAGGAAAGCAGUUCAAAUAACCACCACUGAGGCAUCCCAGGAAAUUACUACUAUAGGAUUUCCAAAUAGAUUUUUAGUCAACUUACCUUGUAAACUGCCUUACAAAAAAAUCAAAGGGAUAUGUAGGAAAACAUUCUAACAUUAAAAAAAUAAUAAAAUG